UCUUUCCUCAGUCCAACGUGGUUCCUUCAGAAAGUGUGCUGCAUCUUCUCCAGACUUCUGCGGUAUAUGAGGAGCCAGUGACAGUGAUGAACUCCGAGCAGGAAAGGCCGUUCGUGUGCAGCGCCCCGGGCUGCUCUCAGAGAUUCCCUACGGAGGAUCAUCUAAUGAUUCAUCGGCACAAGCAUGAGAUGACCCUUAAAUUCCCCUCCAUCAAAAAUGACAACAUGC